rnacentral:rRNA from 1 species
GAUCCUGGCUCAGAUUGAACGCUGGCGGCAGGCUUAACACAUGCAAGUCGAACGGUAGCAGGAGAAAGCUUGCUUUCUUGCUGACGAGUGGCGGACGGGUGAGUAAUGCUUGGGAAUCUGGCUUAUGGAGGGGGAUAACUACGGGAAACUGUAGCUAAUACCGCGUAAUAUCGAAAGAUUAAAGUGUGGGACCUUCGGGCCACAUGCCAUAAGAUGAGCCCAAGUGGGAUUAGGUAGUUGGUGGGGUAAAGG